AACGAACGCUGGCGGCAUGCCUAACACAUGCCAGUCGAACGAUACCUUCGGGUCUAGUGGCGCACGGGUGCGUAACGCGUGGGAACCUGCCCUUAGGUUCGGAAUAACUCCCCGAAAGGGGUGCUAAUACCGGAUAAUGUCUUCGGACCAAAGAUUUAUCGCCUUUGGAUGGGCCCGCGUUUGAUUAGCUAGUUGGUAGGGUAAAAGCCUACCAAGGCGACGAUCCAUAGCUGGUCUGAGAGGAUGAUCAGCCACACUGGGACUGAGACACGGCCCAGACUACUACGGGAGGCAGCAGUGGGGAAUAUUGGACAAUGGGCGAAAGGAUGAUCCAGCAAUGCCGGGUGAGUGAUGAAGGCCUUAGGGUUGUAAAGCUAUUUUACCCGGGAUGAUAAUGACAGUACCGGGAGAAUAAGCUCCGGCUAACUCCGUG
rnacentral:rRNA from 1 species